CGUUAAGUUGCAGGGUAUAGACCCGAAACCCGGUGAUCUAGCCAUGGGCAGGUUGAAGGUUGGGUAACACUAACUGGAGGACCGAACCGACUAAUGUUGAAAAAUUAGCGGAUGACCUGUGGCUGGGGGUGAAAGGCCAAUCAAACCGGGAGAUAGCUGGUUCUCCCCGAAAGCUAUUUAGGUAGCGCCUCGUGAAUUCAUCUCCGGGGGUAGAGCACUGUUUCGGCUAGGGGGCCAUCCCGGCUUACCAACCCGAUGCAAACUGCGAAUACCGGAGAAUGUUAUCACGGGAGACACACGGCGGGUGCUAACGUCCGUCGUGAAGAGGGAAACAACCCAGACCGCCAGCUAAGGUCCCAAAGUCAUGGUUAAGUGGGAAACGAUGUGGGAAGGCCCAGACAGCCAGGAUGUUGGCUUAGAAGCAGCCAUCAUUUAAAGAAAGCGUAAUAGCUCACUGGUCGAGUCGGCCUGCGCGGAAGAUGUAACGGGGCUAAACCAUGCACCGAAGCUGCGGCAGCGACGCUGAUGCGUUGUUGGGUAGGGGAGCGUUCUGUAAGCCUGCGAAGGUGGCCUGUGAGGGUUGCUGGAGGUAUCAGAAGUGCGAAUGCUGACAUAAGUAACGAUAAAGCGGGUGAAAAGCCCGCUCGCCGGAAGACCAAGGGUUCCUGUCCAACGUUAAUCGGGGCAGGGUGAGUCGACCCCUAAGGCGAGGCCGAAAGGCGUAGUCGAUGGGAAACGGGUUAAUAUUCCCGUACUUGGUGUUACUGCGAAGGGGGGACGGAGAAGGCUAUGUUGGCCGGGCGACGGUUGUCCCGGUUUAAGCGUGUAGGUGUGUGUUCCAGGUAAAUCCGGUUCACUUUAACACUGAGGCGUGAUGACGAGGCACUACGGUGCUGAAGCAACAAAUGCCCUGCUUCCAGGAAAAGCCUCUAAGCAUCAGGUAACAUCAAAUCGUACCCCAAACCGACACAGGUGGUCAGGUAGAGAAUACCAAGGCGCUUGAGAGAACUCGGGUGAAGGAACUAGGCAAAAUGGUGCCGUAACUUCGGGAGAAGGCACGCUGACACGUAGGUGAAGUGAUUUACUCAUGGAGCUGAAGUCAGUCGAAGAUACCAGCUGGCUGCAACUGUUUAUUAAAAACACAGCACUGUGCAAACACGAAAGUGGACGUAUACGGUGUGACGCCUGCCCGGUGCCGGAAGGUUAAUUGAUGGGGUCAGCGCAAGCGAAGCUCCUGAUCGAAGCCCCGGUAAACGGCGGCCGUAACUAUAACGGUCCUAAGGUAGCGAAAUUCCUUGUCGGGUAAGUUCCGACCUGCACGAAUGGCGUAAUGAUGGCCAGGCUGUCUCCACCCGAGACUCAGUGAAAUUGAACUCGCUGUGAAGAUGCAGUGUACCCGCGGCAAGACGGAAAGACCCCGUGAACCUUUACUAUAGCUUGACACUGAACAUUGAGCCUUGAUGUGUAGGAUAGGUGGGAGGCUUUGAAGUGUGGACGCCAGUCUGCAUGGAGCCGGCCUUGAAAUACCACCCUUUAAUGUUUGAUGUUCUAACGUGGACCCGUGAUCCGGGUUGCGGACAGUGUCUGGUGGGUAGUUUGACUGGGGCGGUCUCCUCCUAAAGAGUAACGGAGGAGCACGAAGGUUGGCUAAUCCUGGUCGGACAUCAGGAGGUUAGUGCAAUGGCAUAAGCCAGCUUGACUGCGAGCGUGACGGCGCGAGCAGGUGCGAAAGCAGGUCAUAGUGAUCCGGUGGUUCUGAAUGGAAGGGCCAUCGCUCAACGGAUAAAAGGUACUCCGGGGAUAACAGGCUGAUACCGCCCAAGAGUUCAUAUCGACGGCGGUGUUUGGCACCUCGAUGUCGGCUCAUCACAUCCUGGGGCUGAAGUAGGUCCCAAGGGUAUGGCUGUUCGCCAUUUAAAGUGGUACGCGAGCUGGGUUUAGAACGUCGUGAGACAGUUCGGUCCCUAUCUGCCGUGGGCGCUGGAGAACUGAGGGGGGCUGCUCCUAGUACGAGAGGACCGGAGUGGACGCAUCACUGGUGUUCGGGUUGUCAUGCCAAUGGCACUGCCCGGUAGCUAAAUGCGGAAGAGAUAAGUGCUGAAAGCAUCUAAGCACGAAACUUGCCCCGAGAUGAGUUCUCCCUGAGACUUAGAGUCUCCUGAAGGAACGUUGAAGACGACGACGUUGAUAGGCCGGGUGUGUAAGCGCAGCGAUGCGUUGAGCUAACCGGUACUAAUGAACCGUGAGGCUUAACCUUACA
rnacentral:rRNA from 1 species